AUGCGCCAUGUGCAUUCCAGCCUGGGUAACAAGAGCGAACUCGUCUCAAAAAAACAAACAAAAAAAAUAUCUUCCAGGGCGCGGUGGCUCACGCCUGUAAUCCCAGCACUUUGGGAGGCUGAGGCGGGUGGAUCACGAGGUCAAGAGAUUGAGACCAUCCUGGUCAACAUGGUGAAAGCCCGUCUCUACUAAUACAAAAAAAUUAGCUGGGCAUGGUGGCGCGUGCCUGUAAUCCCAGCUACUCAGGAGGCUGAGGCAGGAGAAUUGCCUGAACCCAGG
rnacentral:lncRNA from 1 species